GACAGAGGGUGCAAACGUUGUUCGGAAUUACUGGGCGUAAAGCGCGUGUAGGCGGCUAAGUAAGUCGGGCGUGAAAUCCCACGGCUCAACCGUGGAAGUGCACUCGAAACUGCAUAGCUAGAGUCCUGGAGAGGAAGGUGGAAUGCUUGGUGUAGAGGUGAAAUUCGUAGAUAUCAAGCGGAACACCGGAUGGCGAAGGCGGCCUUCUGGGACAGUGACUGACGCUGAGACGGCGAAAGCGUGGGGAGCAAACAGGG
rnacentral:rRNA from 1 species